GAUGAACGCUGGCGGCGUGCCUAAUACAUGCAAGUCGAGCGAACAGACGAGGAGCUUGCUCCUCUGACGUUAGCGGCGGACGGGUGAGUAACACGUGGAUAACCUACCUAUAAGACUGGGAUAACUUCGGGAAACCGGAGCUAAUACCGGAUAAUAUAUUGAACCGCAUGGUUCAAUAGUGAAGGACGGUUCUGCUGUCACUUAUAGAUGGAUCCGCGCCGCAUUAGCUAGUUGGUAAGGUAACGGCUUACCAAGGCAACGAUGCGUAGCCGACCUGAGAGGGUGAUCGGCCACACUGGAACUGAGACACGGUCCAGACUCCUACGGGAGGCAGCAGUAGGGAAUCUUCCGCAAUGGGCGAAAGCCUGACGGAGCAACGCCGCGUGAGUGAUGAAGGUCUUCGGAUCGUAAAACUCUGUUAUUAGGGAAGAACAAAUGUGUAAGUAACUAUGCACGUCUUGACGGUACCUAAUCAGAAAGCCACGGCUAACUACGUG
rnacentral:rRNA from 1 species